UACGUAGGGUGCAAGCGUUGUCCGGAAUUAUUGGGCGUAAAGAGCUCGUAGGCGGUUUGUCGCGUCUGCUGUGAAAACUCAGGGCUUAACUCUGAGCUUGCAGUGGGUACGGGCAGACUAGAGUGCGGUAGGGGAGACUGGAAUUCCUGGUGUAGCGGUGAAAUGCGCAGAUAUCAGGAGGAACACCGAUGGCGAAGGCAGGUCUCUGGGCCAUAACUGACGCUGAGAAGCGAAAGCAUGGGGAGCGAACAGG
rnacentral:rRNA from 1 species